rnacentral:lncRNA from 13 species
CAAAGGAGCUGGGCGGAGGCACCCAAGGCCAGCCAGGGGAGAAGUGGGUGUGCUGGAGCCCGGGCGGGGCCGGGGGAGGGAACUCCCGGGGGAGGGAAAAGGGAGCCGCACGCGGGUGGGAACGCGGAGCCAGAGGGUGCUCUGCGCAGUGCUGGGCGCCCGCCGAGUGGACCAGGGCUGGUGGAGCUCACAGGAUCACAGCGUCCCGGCCACCCUCGGUCAGAGGGCGUUGUAUCCAGCGAGCAAACGGGCGCCCCGAAGCCUUGCGGAGAGGCAGCUCUGGGCUUUCCCAGGUCUAAAGUCAAUACUGAGACCCCAGAUGUGUCCAGUGACAUCCUGAAGAGGCUAGGGGGUUGAGGAGCCUUAGGGUGUCCACAUAGAGAGCCUGAAACUGACUGAGAGCCAGCGGAUUUGUCAGCUGUCUGGUGAGUCUUCCACACUCAGAUUUCCCUCCCUCUCCCUGUCAGUUAAAGCCCCUUUCCAGUGAUACCUAAGAAAACUGAAUGGUCCUUCCCCUAGAUGGAGCUCGGGAUGACUAGGAGCUUUCACCUUCACUAUAUGUGCUGUGUCCAUUCCUUUUUUUCUUCUAACCUACAUGUACAUAUUUGCUUCUCUAAAAAAAAAUUUUUUUUUAAUUUAAUCCUCUUCUACAUAAUACAAGUGUAUGCUCACAGCAAGCCUUGAAGGAGGAGGGCAAGGAUGAUCAUCUUUCUUUGUGGUUUUUUGUUUGUUUUUGUUUUUGUUGUUUUUUUGAGACAGAACUCUUGCUCUGCUGCCCAGGCUGGAGUACAGUAGCACAAUCUCAGCUCACGGCAACCUCCACCUCCAGGGUUCAAGCGAUUGUCCUGCCUCAGCCUCCUGAGCAGCUGGGAAUACAGGCAUGUGCUUGGCUAGUUUUUUAUUUUAUUUUAUUUUAUUUAUUUUAUUGCAUUUUAGGUUUUGGGAUACAUGUCUAGAACAUGGAAGAUAGUUGCAUAGGUACACACGUGGCAGUGUGAUUUGCUGCCUUCCUCCCCUUCACCCACAUCUGGCAUUUCUCCCCAUGCUAUCCCUCCCCAACUGCCCCCAGCUGUCCCUCCCCUAUUCCCCCCAAUAGACCCCAGUGUGUAGUGCUCCCCUCCCUGUGUCUACGUGUUCUCAUUGUUCAUCACCCGACUAUGAGUGAGAAUAUGAGGUAUUUCAUUUUCUGUUCUUGUGUCAGUUUGCUGAGAAUGAUUUUCUCCAGAUUCAUCCAUGUCCCUACAAAGGACACGAACUCAUCGUUUUUUAUUGCUCCAUAAUAUUCCAUGGUGUAUAUGUGCCACAUUUUCCCAGUCCAGUCUAUCAUCGAUGGGCAUUUGGGUUGGUUCCAGGUCUU